AGUGAACGCUGGCGGUAGGCCUAACACAUGCAAGUCGAACGGCAGCACAGUAAGAGCUUGCUCUUACGGGUGGCGAGUGGCGGACGGGUGAGGAAUACAUCGGAAUCUACUUUUUCGUGGGGGAUAACGUAGGGAAACUUACGCUAAUACCGCAUACGACCUACGGGUGAAAGCAGGGGAUCUUCGGACCUUGCGCGAUUGAAUGAGCCGAUGUCGGAUUAGCUAGUUGGCGGGGUAAAGGCCCACCAAGGCGACGAACCGUACCUGGUCUGAGAGGAUGAUCAGCCACACUGGAACGGAACCACGGUCCCGACUCCUACGGGACGCAGCAGUGGGGAAUAUUGGACAAUGGGCGCAAGCCUGAUCCAGCCAUACCGCGUGUGUGAAGAAGGCCUUCGGGUUGUAAAGCCCUUUUGUUGGGAAAGAAAAGCAGCAGGUUAAUACCCCGCUGUUCUGACGGUACCCAAAGAAUAAGCACCGGCUAACUUCGUG
rnacentral:rRNA from 1 species